UGGCGGACGGGGGAGUAAUGUCUGGGAAACUGCCUGAUGGAGGGGGGUAACUACUGGAAACGGUAGCUAAUACCGCAUAACGUCGCAAGACCAAAGAGGGGACCGUUCGGGCCUCUUGCCAUCGGAUGUGCCCAGAUGGGAUUAGCUAGUAGGUGGGGUAACGGCUCACCUAGGCGACGAUCCCUAGCUGGUCUGAGAGGAUGACCAGCCACACUGGAACUGAGACACGGUCCAG
rnacentral:rRNA from 1 species